rnacentral:rRNA from 1 species
UAAGGAAUAUUGGACAAUGGUCGAAAGACUGAUCCAGCCAUCCCGCGUGCAGGAUGACUGCCCUAUGGGUUGUAAACUGCUUUUAUAUGGGAAGAAUAGCAUGGAUUCAUCUGUGUAUGACGGUACCAUAUGAAUAAGCACCGGCUAACUCCGUGCCAGCAGCCGCGGUAAUACGGAGGGUGCAAGCGUUAUCCGGAAUCACUGGGUUUAAAGGGUGCGUAGGUGGCCCGAUAAGUCAGAGGUGAAAGCCCGUCGCUUAACGAUGGAAUUGCCUUUGAUACUGUUGGGCUUGAAAUAGGUUGAGGUAGGCGGAAUGUGACAUGUAGCGGUGAAAUGCAUAGAUAUGUCAUAGAACACCGAUUGCGAAGGCAGCUUACUGGACCUUAUUUGACGCUGAGGC